rnacentral:rRNA from 1 species
GAUGAACGCUAGCGGCAGGCUUAACACAUGCAAGUCGAGGGGCAGCAUGAGACGGAGAUUCGUCGAAGUCUUGAUGGCGACCGGCGCAAGGGUGCGUAACGCGUGAGCAACUUGCCCGUUUCUGGGGGAAUAACCGGUGGAAACGCCGACUAAUACCCCAUAGUAUUGAGUUUAGGCAUCUUUACUCAAUUAAAGAAUUUCGGAAACGGAUAGGCUCGCGUGACAUUAGCUGGAUGGCGGGGUAACGGCCCACCAUGGCAACGAUGUCUAGGGGUUCUGAGAGGAAGGUCCCCCANACUGGAACUGAGACACGGUCCAGACUCCUACGGGAGGCAGCAGUGAGGAAUAUUGGUCAAUGGUCGGAAGACUGAACCAGCCAAGUAGCGUGAAGGAUGAAGGUUCUAUGGAUUGUAAACUUCUUUUAUACGGGAAUAAAACCUCCACGUGUGGGAGCUUGUAUGUACCGUAUGAAUAAGCAUCGGCUAACUCCGUGCCAGCAGCCG